CCUGGCUCAGGAUGAACGCUAGCUACAGGCUUAACACAUGCAAGUCGAGGGGCAGCAUCAUCAAAGCUUGCUUUGAUGGAUGGCGACCGGCGCACGGGUGAGUAACACGUAUCCAACCUGCCGACAACACUGGGAUAGCCUUUCGAAAGAAAGAUUAAUACCGGAUGGCAUAAUUAUUCCGCAUGGGAUAAUUAUUAAAGAAUUUCGGUUGUCGAUGGGGAUGCGUUCCAUUAGGCAGUUGGCGGGGUAACGGCCCACCAAACCUACGAUGGAUAGGGGUUCUGAGAGGAAGGUCCCCCACAUUGGAACUGAGACACGGUCCAAACUCCUACGGGAGGCAGCAGUGAGGAAUAUUGGUCAAUGGACGAGAGUCUGAACCAGCCAAGUAGCGUGAAGGAUGACUGCCCUAUGGGUUGUAAACUUCUUUUAUACGGGAAUAAAGUGAGCCACGUGUGGCUUUUUGUAUGUACCGUAUGAAUAAGGAUCGGCUAACUCCGUGCCAGCAGCCGCGGUAAUACGGAGGAUUCGAGCGUUAUCCGGAUUUAUUGGGUUUAAAGGGAGCGUAGGCGGGUUGUUAAGUCAGUUGUGAAAGUUUGCGGCUCAACCGUAAAAUUGCAGUUGAUACUGGCGACCUUGAGUGCAACAGAGGUAGGCGGAAUUCGUGGUGUAGCGGUGAAAUGCUUAGAUAUCACGAAGAACUCCGAUUGCGAAGGCAGCUUACUGGAUUGUAACUGACGCUGAUGCUCGAAAGUGUGGGUAUCAAACAGGAUUAGAUACCCUGGUAGUCCACACAGUAAACGAUGAAUACUCGCUGUUGGCGAUAUACAGUCAGCGGCCAAGCGAAAGCAUUAAGUAUUCCACCUGGGGAGUACGCCGGCAACGGUGAAACUCAAAGGAAUUGACGGGGGCCCGCACAAGCGGAGGAACAUGUGGUUUAAUUCGAUGAUACGCGAGGAACCUUACCCGGGCUUAAAUUGCAACUGACGGAACCGGAAACGGUUCUUUCUUCGGACAGUUGUGAAGGUGCUGCAUGGUUGUCGUCAGCUCGUGCCGUGAGGUGUCGGCUUAAGUGCCAUAACGAGCGCAACCCUUACGGGUAGUUACCAUCAGGUUAUGCUGGGGACUCUACCCGGACUGCCGUCGUAAGAUGUGAGGAAGGUGGGGAUGACGUCAAAUCAGCACGGCCCUUACGUCCGGGGCUACACACGUGUUACAAUGGGGGGUACAGAAGGCAGCUACACGGCGACGUGGUGCUAAUCCCAAAAGCCUCUCUCAGUUCGGAUUGGAGUCUGCAACCCGACUCCAUGAAGCUGGAUUCGCUAGUAAUCGCGCAUCAGCCACGGCGCGGUGAAUACGUUCCCGGGCCUUGCACACACCGCCCG
rnacentral:rRNA from 1 species